UGGGCUCAUGUGGAUGAUGACGGUGUC
rnacentral:piRNA from 1 species